AAUUACUUUGCCGAAAUUGCUACUCGAAGCGGCGAACAGCGAACAAGUGUCAGCGCAGUCGUCUGCUAUAUUACAGCCUAUAGUUGUGCACAGCUUGAAACAACCUUUGAAAGGGCAAACUUUGCAAUCUCACUCGAUCUCUGCAGAGCGCUGCUAAGGACGUCGAAUUUGAGCUCACGUUCUUGUCCAGACAGAAUCGUCUGCUUCACCGAGGCGCGGCAUCAUAGAGUUUUAUAGCAUCAAUCGUGCGUCGUCUGCUACUCACACAUGCAGCGCAACGCACUUGACGCUGAUAUCGCGUGCACGUUACCCUACAGAGACCCAGUCCGCCAAACAAUAAAGCCUACUACUCCACAGCCACUUGACACAAUUUCGCCUGCGGCCCUUCCGGUCUCUGCUUCCUCCUCCACUUUUCAGCGACUUUCGCUUUCUCUCGCCUCGUCGUGCGCUCAUGCGUGCACCCGCCUAGCCGUCACUUUCACAAGAUCCGCUCUUUGAAAGCAGGCAUGCGUGCUGCGUGUGCAGAGCCGAAAAGUGCGGUAUAUCGCAUGUGCGCGCAUAUGUGCUGCAGAAAUAUCUUUGUAACGCACCACCAUCUUCAGCGGCGUAUGAGGAAGACGCUUCCCAAUGCUUGCACAACGAAUACAACUGCGCGACUCGUCUGGCUUGCGCUUCGAGAGAAAAAAAAAAAGGCGCUAGCUUGCUAUGACGAAGCGCGGCAUUCCACGGAAGCACAUAUGACGAUUUAGUGGUCGCUAUAAAUAAGGACAUGUCAAACGUAGCAGGCCUCGGUCUACGUGAACACCUGCCUUCGCGUUUCAGGCAUGCCUGCGGAGACCUUCGCUCAGGCCACAGUGGUCACGAAUAUGCGCAACACGCAACGUAGGAAAGCUGUCAUAAAAUGGUUCGCCGCCAUCGCGAACGAAAUGUAGGCACGGUCGAGCAAGCAUGUAUAUAAAGACCACGUAUAACAUUACUGGGGGCUAAUCAACACCACGGUCGGCUACAGGCUGGAAAGAAGGAACAUGCACAGCCACGGUCCAAGAAUCUUGGCUACUGAAGACGGUCUCCAGCCCAGUCGGUUUAAUGCUGUCUGAAGAGGGCGGUACUGGAUGUCAGAACAAGUACAGGAAGUGUUCAGUAUUUCUUUUUUCGGUCCCGUAGGAGUCACACGUAGGUCAGAAUCAAGCCACGGAUAAUAUGCAGGACCAAGAAGCAGAUGAAAACAUUUACGUGAAUGUGUGAUUACACAUUAUCAAAAACUAUACCUCCUAUAAAAAUAGCAGAAAGCA